AUUGAACGCUGGCGGCAGGCCUAACACAUGCAAGUCGAGCGGAUGAAGGGAGCUUGCUCCUGGAUUCAGCGGCGGACGGGUGAGUAAUGCCUAGGAAUCUGCCUGGUAGUGGGGGAUGACGGGCGGAAACGGGCAAUAAUACAGCAUACGUGCUGAGGGAGAAAGGGGGGGAUCGUAGGACCUCACGCUAUCAGAUGAGACUAGGUCGGAUUAGCUAGUUGGUGGGGUAAAGGCCUACCAAGGCGACGAUCCGUAACUGGUCUGAGAGGAUGAGCAGUCACACUGGAACUGAGACACGGUCCAGACUCCUACGGGAGGCAGCAGUGGGGAAUAUUGGACAAUGGGCGAAAGCCUGAUCCAGCCAUGCCGCGUGUGUGAAGAAGGUCUUCGGAUUGUAAAGCACUUUAAGUUGGGAGGAAGGGCAGUAAGUUAAUACCUUGCUGUUUUGACGUUACCAACAGAAUAAGCACCGGCUAACUUCGUG
rnacentral:rRNA from 1 species